AGUGAACGCUGGCGGUAGGCCUAACACAUGCAAGUCGAACGGCAGCACAGGAGAGCUUGCUCUCUGGGUGGCGAGUGGCGGACGGGUGAGGAAUACAUCGGAAUCUACUCUGUCGUGGGGGAUAACGUAGGGAAACUUACGCUAAUACCGCAUACGACCUACGGGUGAAAGCAGGGGACCUUCGGGCCUUGCGCGAUUGAAUGAGCCGAUGUCGGAUUAGCUAGUUGGCGGGGUAAAGGCCCACCAAGGCGACGAUCCGUAGCUGGUCUGAGAGUAUGAUCAGCCAAGCUGGAACUGAGACACGGUCCAGACUCCUACGGGAGGCAGCGGUGGGGAAUAUUGGACAAUGGGCGCAAGCCUGAUCCAGCCAUACCGCGUGGGUGAAGAAGGCCUUCGGGUUGUAAAGCCCUUUUGUUGGGAAAGAAAUCCAGCUGGCUAAUACCCGGUUGGGAUGACGGUACCCAAAGAAUAAGCACCGGCUAACUUCGUGCCAGCCGCCGCCGUAA
rnacentral:rRNA from 1 species